CUUYGAUAGCCUCACGCUAUCUAUCGGAUCGUUUUAGAAACAUUCAGGGGCCAACAGUUUCAGGAUUGUUGAGCUCCAUUGGCGGGAUUUCGCCGUCUUCGUUUCUCUUUCUUCGCGGACRAACACGCGCCAGGGGCUGAGCGCUGUGCGGUGCACCGACUAAACGUCGCGUGCGCGCCGGCAUGUCUCUCGUGUUAGGGGCUUGUAGCUCAGUUGGUUAGAGCGCGCGCUUGAUAAGCGUGAGGUCGGAAGUUCAAGUCUUCCCAGGCCCACCAUUUUGAUCGAGUGCGGAGCAUUCGUCUUCUGGUACGGGGCCAUAGCUCAGCUGGGAGAGCGCGUGCUUUGCAAGCAUGAGGUCGUCGGUUCGAUCCCGUCUGGCUCCACCAGAUGGUUUGAUCACCAACGGCGUUACCGUCGUCCGCGAAACAUCACUUCGCACUCAUUGGUCCGGAUGGACGGUGACGUGCGUGUUUUCUGACAUCGUAAAGAGGAGAUCGAUCCGAGUUUGGAUCAAGCGAAGCAGUUCGCCUGAACCAUUCAUUAUCUCCGGGAUCAUUUCGGCGCUCGUUUUCAAUCGUGAGAUUGGAUGCGGGUUGUAAAUGAUCCCUUUUAGCGAAGCUUGACCGCCUCGCUAUCGGGCCGAUCUUACRAAGCAAGCUGGUCUUUCUAGUCAAUGUCCGGCUGCGCAAUCGCAUUCAUCGAGGAUGCGUGCCUGGGACUUCGGUCUUCGGGCAGUUGCGCAGACAACAUUCUGCCGAGUGUGUGGACAUUGAUAAUGAGAGCAAUCAAGUGCCUUAAGGGUGUUCGGUGGAUGCCUUGGCGCUGAGAGGCGAUGAAAGACGUGCUACGCUGCGAUAAGCCGUGGGGAGCUGCGAAGAAGCUUUGAUCCGCGGAUUCCKACUGGGGAAAYACCGGACGAYCAAGSUUCUUUCGCAGYUYCCMMGGCUWAUSSACGUAGMCGUCUUCAUSSCYCUCACSCCAGGAUCMCSAAMMCCUAAAGGMMUUGAUKKGYYYMUUAUWUCAUGUUCACYGGSMAAUGWUGUUCKGCCCAYSCRGMAAAYAGSCACKCWGCAAUGCAUKSSACGCCAUKGGMCUAAAAGAA
rnacentral:misc_RNA from 1 species